AUAGAAUGAAAUGGUGAGGAUCUGACUCAUAAUCAGGGGGUCCCUGGUUCAAGCCCAGGUGGGACCA
rnacentral:tRNA from 1 species